rnacentral:rRNA from 1 species
UAAUACGGAGGGUGCGAGCGUUGUCCGGAAUCAUUGGGCGUAAAGGGCGCGUAGGUGGCCCGGUCAGUUCGUGGUGAAAGCGCGGGGCUCAACCCUGCGUCGGCCAUGAAUACUGCCGCGGCUGGAGCACUGUAGAGGCAGGCGGAAUUCCGGGUGUAGCGGUGGAAUGCGUAGAGAUCCGGAAGAACACCGGUGGCGAAGGCGGCCUGCUGGGCAGUUGCUGACACUGAGGCGCGACAGCGUGGGGAGCAAACAGGAUUAGAUACCCUGGUAGUCCACGCCGUAAACGAUGGGCACUAGGCGCUUGGGGGAGCGACCCCCCGAGGGCCGGCGCUAACGCAUUAAGUGCCCCGCCUGGGGAGUACGGCCGCAAGGCUG